UACGGAGGAUCCGAGCGUUAUCCGGAUUUAUUGGGUUUAAAGGGAGCGUAGGUGGAUUGUUAAGUCAGUUGUGAAAGUUUGCGGCUCAACCGUAAAAUUGCAGUUGAAACUGGCAGUCUUGAGUACAGUAGAGGUGGGCGGAAUUCGUGGUGUAACGGUGAAAUGCUUAGAUAUCGCGAAGAACUCCGAUUGCGAAGGCAGCUCACUGGACUGCAACUGACACUGAGGCUCGAAAGUGUGGGUAUCAAACAGG
rnacentral:rRNA from 1 species